rnacentral:rRNA from 1 species
GACGAACGCUGGCGGCGUGCUUAACACAUGCAAGUCGAACGAAGUGGCGAACGGGUGAGUAACGCGUAAUCAACCUGCCCUUCAGAGGGGGACACCAGUUUGAAAUGACUGCUAAUACCGCAUACUGAAGGAGGGGACGCCGUCUGAUUAGCUAGUUGGAGGGGUAACGGCCCACCAAGGCGAUGAUCAGUAGCCGGUCUGGGAGGAGGAACGGCCAAAUUGGGAAUGGGGAAAGGGCCAGACUCCCACGGGAGGGAGCAGUGGGGAAUCUUCCGGAAUUGACGAAAGGCUGACGAGGCAACGCCGCGUGAGGUAUGACGGCCUUCGGGUUGUAAAGCUCUGGUAAUCGGGAAGCGGUACCUGAAUAGAAAGCCACGGCUAACUACGUGCCAGCAGCCGCGGUAAUAC